rnacentral:rRNA from 1 species
UACGAAGGGGUGCAAACGUUGCUCGGAAUCAUUGGGCGUAAAGCGCACGUAGGCGGCACACCAAGUCGGAUGUGAAAUCCCUCGGCUCAACCAAGGAAGUGCAUCCGAAACUGGCGAGCUUGAGUACGGGAGAGGAUCGCGGAAUUCCCGGUGUAGAGGUGAAAUUCGUAGAUAUCGGGAGGAACACCAGUGGCGAAGGCGGCGAUCUGGACAGUGACUGACGCUGAGACGCGAAAGCGUGGGGAGCAAACAGG